UACAGAGGGGGCCAGCGUUAUUCGGAAUUAUUGGGCGUAAAGGGCGCGUAGGCGGCCAUGCGUGUCUUCCGUGAAAUCCCUCGGCUUAACUGAGGACGUGCGGAAGAAACUGCAAGGCUCGAGUCCGGGAGAGGGGGGUGGAAUUCCCAGUGUAGCGGUGAAAUGCGUAGAUAUUGGGAGGAACACCGGCGGCGAAGGCGGCCCCCUGGACCGGUACUGACGCUGAGGCGCGAAAGCGUGGGUAGCAAACAGG
rnacentral:rRNA from 1 species